AAAGCGUGCGCAGGCGGUUAUGUAAGACAGAUGUGAAAUCCCCGGGCUCAACCUGGGAACUGCAUUAGUGACUGCAUAACUGGAGUACGGCAGAGGGGGAUGGAAUUCCGCGUGUAGCAGUGAAAUGCGUAGAUAUGCGGAGGAACACCGAUGGCGAAGGCAAUCCCCUGGGCCUGUACUGACGCUCAUGCACGAAAGCGUGGGGAGCAAACAGGAUUAGAUACCCGUGU
rnacentral:rRNA from 1 species